rnacentral:rRNA from 1 species
GGUUUUACCGCAAAUGGGCGAAAGCCUGACGGAGCAAGACCGCUGGGGGGAANAAGGGACUCUGGGUUGAAAACCCCUUUUCGUCCUUGGGAAGAAAAGUUGUGAAAAGGCAAACCUGACGGGUACCAGAGGGAAUCAGCAUACGGCUAACUCCGUGCCAGCAGCCGCGGUAAGACGGAGGAUGCAAGCGUUAUCCGGAAUGAUUGGGCGUAAAGCGUCGCAGGUGGCAGUUCAAGUCUGCUGUCAAAGACCGGGGCUUAACUUCGGAAAGGCAGUGGAAACUGAACAGCUAGAGUAUGGUAGGGGCAGAGGGAAUUCCUGGUGUAGCGGUGAAAUGCGUAGAGAUCAGGAAGAACAUCGGUGGCGAAGGCGCUCUGCUGGACCAUAACUGACAACUCAGGGACGAAAGCUAGGGGAGCGAAUGGGAUUAGAUACCCCAGUAGUCCUAGCCGUAAACGAUGGAUACUAGGUGUUGUCUGUAUCGACCCGGACGGUGCCGUAGCUAACGCGUUAAGUAUCCCGCCUGGGGAGUACGCACGCAAGUGUGAAACUCAAAGGAAUUGAC